CGCGGGAAGCACGCCCCCUUAACGCGGUGGUUCCGAGAGCUUCCUUCUGGGCGGAAGCGAAUGAGUCAACGCCGCCAAGUGGUUCAGGGAGGGACAGAGAACUCGACUUUUGGCCAGAGCUGCUGCAGAAGGUCUCUCUGCUGGAUCGGGGUGGAUCAUGUUCUGAUGAGAGACACCACCUUGAGUAGUUGGUGAAAUUCUUUGGAGAGCUCCUGAGGAAUGUCUGGAAGAUUCCCCUCACGGAUGUGAUGCCACGCAGCCCCAUUGGACUCCGGAGUGAAGGGAUUAAUAUUGACCAGAGCCAGUGAGGUCAUCGCAUCGGUGAAGGGACCAGGUGUGAGCUUCAGAUGCUUAGAGCUUCGGGAGGGGAGCUUCCCUGUUGAAGAGAUCCCCGACUGGCUCACCUGGCCCUGAAUGAGGAUGAUAAAAGGCAAAUCAGAAUGGAGGAAAUACGUAACUGAAGAUAGAUACAGCCUGUGAAACAGAUCCGUCACACAUACAUAGGACUGGGCCCUCGUUCUCCGUCCGCCGAAGGAACACAGACCUCAGCGGCCUGGCUCCCUCCUCCCCAGCGAUGGACUUACUUUGGGAGUGAAGGGGCUCUCGCAGCGUGGCGGCUUGCCCUUGUCUGGCGGGGCUGGGGUUUCAGGACGUGUGAGAGAGUGUGACACUGGAGUUCUCAGACCCUGACCUGGACUCGCUUGGCCUUUUUCCUGAAAUGUGUUGAGGUCACGUACGUCACUAAGGGGAGUCCUGACAGGUGUAAGCUCUGCCGCCUGAACAGAUCCUGAAUCCUGAGCUCCAGGCUUCUCUGGGGUUUGGCUCUGGGGCUCCUUGCU